rnacentral:snoRNA from 1 species
AAGCAGGAUUAGUUGGUGCAGCAUGUUCCGGGCUGUAAUGCCGGUCCCCCUGCAGACCAACUAGUUUCCUACUAUCCCUGUCUGCAUCCCGUGGCUGACAGGGACGCUUGGCCUCGGACAU